UGUCUCAAGUUUGAGGCUAUAGCAGAAGUGCUCAUGGUAUAGCCCUGUCAGAUUCUAACAAAUCUGUGAGAUCCACU
rnacentral:ribozyme from 1 species